rnacentral:lncRNA from 1 species
AAUUGCUGGAGCGCACGUAUAAAUAUAUGCGCGCGGACGAAGCAGCUUCCGACCGGUGCUUGACCGAGGGCACGGGCCAGAAGGAGAAGCGGAAAAAAAAUCGAGCUCCUGCUGAACUCAGCAGGCCCCACCACUGAUAGACGGCUCUCGCCCCGACGAUGGAGUCCGAGAUCGAUGCAUCAUAGGUAUAACUCCUGUACCCCUCUCUUCGCUUUUCAUACGCAGAUCCUGAUGGAGAUCGAAGGAGCGGAAUAUCUACGAUGGCCUCGACCUUUGAAGGCAAAAGGCCUCGACCAAUGCAGCCC